rnacentral:rRNA from 1 species
ACUCCUACGGGAGGCAGCAGUGGGGAAUCUUGGACAAUGGGGGCACCCUGAUCCAGCCAUGCCGCGUGAGUGAUGAAGGCCUUAGGGUCGUAAAGCUCUUUCGCCUGUGAAGAUAAUGACGGUAGCAGGUAAAGAAACCCGCGUACAUCCGUGCCAGCAGCCGCGGUAAUACGGAGGGGGUUAGCGUUGUUCGGAAUUACUGGGCGUAAAGCGCACGUAGGC